rnacentral:lncRNA from 1 species
AGCAUCUGGCGAGGUCCCAACGUGAACUGCACAGACAGUUCGGGUUACACCGCUUUGCACCACGCAGCCUUAAAUGGACAUAAGGACAUAGUUCUCAAACUACUUCAAUUCGAGGCGUCCACCCAUGUCCCAGACAACAAAGGGUUACUUCCCCCCUGGCUUCCCUGGAAAAAAGGCAAAGCGCAAAUCAUUCUCCUGCAGAAUCUCCUAAAGAAGAGAUUUGCACAUUUCUCUGGGUUUGGAUGCGAUGCACAGGCUCUGUGGGUUUGGAUAUCACGCACAGGCAGUAAAGCAUUUGGGAAGACCCUCUGUUAAAAAGGAAAACCCCCACAUAGAGCAAGUAAUUGUAAAAGUUUUGCCUGCCUUAUAGAAUCAUCGCCCAUUUUUAAGUCUACUGAAUAAAGAUAGGACGUUAUCCGUGUUUGUAACGAGAAUGAUUGUUCCUUAAUAAAAUGGUGAAUGCUAAAACAUUGUUUACAGCG